rnacentral:lncRNA from 1 species
UAAUGAUGGUGAGGGAGUCCCUUUUAUAGAAUAAGGGCUCGCUCCUCAAUACAUAAGUGAUGGGCUAGGAGUGAUGUUUGCAGCAAGGCAGUUGCUCAGCUGGCGGCGUUGCUCUCUAAUGAAGGUAAGGGAGUCCCUUUUAUAAAAUAAGGGUUCACUCCUCAGUACAUGAAUAAUGGGUGCUCUCUAAUGAAAGUGAGGGAUUCCCUUUUAUAGA